GACGUAGGGUGCAAGCGUUGUCCGGAUUUAUUGGGCGUAAAGAGCGUGUAGGCGGCCAGGUAGGUCUGCUGUGAAAACUCGAGGCUCAACCUCGAGACGUCGGCGGAAACCAUCUGGCUAGAGUCCGGAAGAGGAGAGUGGAAUUGCUGGUGUAGCGGUGAAAUGCGCAGAUAUCAGGAAGAACACCGGUGGCGAAGGCGGCUUUCUGGACGGUUACUGACGCUGAGACGCGAAAGCGUGGGGAGCAAACAGG
rnacentral:rRNA from 1 species